AUGUGUGCAGCUCACGCUUUCCUCUUUAAAACUCUUUUCAGGGUAGUCCAGGUCCCCCUGGUAAUGCAGGACCUGCAGGCAAGGAUGGGCCUCCCGGACCCCCUGGUAGUUCUGGUGCUCCUGGAGGCCCAGGACCUGCUGGAAUCAGAGGUGAGCCCGGCGCACCAGGAGAAAAAGGGUCCCCAGGCGCACGAGGAGAAAGGGGGGCACCAGGUGAGCCAGGUCCUCAAGGCAUUGUUGGUGGCCGGGGGAACACGGGUCUGCCAGGUCUGCGCGGCCCCAGUGGCCCACCUGGGAUGGCAGGGGCCAGGGGUGAAGAUGGUAAACCAGGCACCAACGGCAUCCCAGGAGAACGCGGUGCUCCUGGUCCCCAAGGUCCUGUUGGACAAAGAGGCUUACCUGGAGAGCCUGGCAGAGAUGUGA
rnacentral:lncRNA from 13 species